rnacentral:rRNA from 1 species
UACAGAGGUCUCAAGCGUUGUUCGGAUUCACUGGGUUUAAAGGGUGCGUAGGCGGGCUUGUAAGUCCGUGGUGAAAUCUCUGAGCUUAACUCGGAAACUGCCAUGGAUACUAUAGGCCUUGAAUUCUGUGGAGGUUUGCGGAAUAUGUCAUGUAGCGGUGAAAUGCUUAGAUAUGACAUAGAACACCGAUUGCGAAGGCAGCAGGCUACACAGCGAUUGACGCUGAGGCACGAAAGCGUGGGGAUCAAACAGG